ACGGGUACGCAUGCUGUAGGUGACCUGCGGAAGGAUCAUUA
rnacentral:rRNA from 1 species